GUACAAUUACCAUCUGGUCGUGUUGGGCUCGUCAUGCCAGGGAACCAAUAAGCAAAGAGUUAACUCUACAGGGGAUAAAAAUUGACCUUAACAACCAUGGGGGAGUUAGAAUUGCUGCUACACCUUGGGGACAGGGAGGAAUAUAUCUGAAAAAGAGGAGGCUCCCUGGGAUGUCUUUUGGUGCUUCAGCACCUAGUGGUAACUAAGAAUCAGCAGGUACAGCAACCACAGCCCAACAAGGGCCAGGCGGCUAAGGCUUCAGGAUAAAGGUCCCGAGUCACUCCACUGGGCACACAGUUAGACCCUCUUACUAGUCAAAUAUAACAGAAAUUCAAAAUACAUAGUGGAGGAAAGAAAAUACUGAUUAUGGCUUUAGGAUUUACAUCCAAGCAGUGAGGAUAACCUUCAUUCAACUAACCUUUUAUUAAAUCCUCUCAAAUUUGCCUACCACCUUAAAAGGGACUCUGUAAUGGGAAUGAGAGAAACUGAGAGGUAAAAGGGAUGGACUGUAGUAGAUGUGCCUUGAACUCUGCCUCAAACCCUCUCCACAUCCUACUCCAGGACUGCCGUGGUGACUUGUUCUUUGAAAGCUUCACCCAGCUUUCCAUAGGGGCAACCUGACAAUGUUUGACUGAGGCCUGUGAUUAUUCAGCAUUUAUGAGUGAGAGAAGGCUCAGUAGCAAAUCGAGCAGCAGAAAGAAAAGAGUCAGUAAAGAUUUGACAUCUCAUCUUUCAAAGUCAUUACAAGAAUUAUAUUAAAUAUUAUAUGCAAAAGCACAUCAGUGCUUGAGGAAGCGAAGGAAAGG